rnacentral:rRNA from 1 species
GACAGAGGUGCCGAGCGUUAGGCGGAAUCACUGGGCUUAAAGCGUGUGUAGGCGGAUGCCUAAGUACCUUGUGAAAUCCCACAGCUCAACUGUGGAACUGCUUGGUAUACUGGGUGUCUUGAGCCACUUAGGGGUUACCGGAACAAAUGGUGGAGCGGUGAAAUGCGUAGAUAUCAUUUGGAACGCCAAUGGUGAAAACAGGUAACUGGGAGUGUGCUGACGCUCAUGCACGAAAGCGUGGGGAGCAAACAGG